GGAAAGAUGGCUCAGCUGUUAAGAGCAUUGGCGGCUCUUCCAAAAAACCUGGGUUCAAUUCCCAGCCA
rnacentral:tRNA from 1 species